AAAUUAAAAGCUUUGCGGGGCUGAUUAGCUUGUUGGUGAGGUAAUGGCUCACCAAGGCGACGAUCAGUAUCUGGUUUGAGAGGACGAUCAGACACACUGGAACUGAGACACGGUCCAGACUCCUACGGGAGGCAGCAGUGGGGAAUUUUCCGCAAUGGGCGAAAGCCUGACGGAGCAAUACCGCGUGAGGGAUGACGGCCUAUGGGUUGUAAACCUCUUUUUUCAGGGAGGAAUCAAUGACGUGUACCUGAAGAAUAAGCAUCGGCUAACUCCGUGCCAGCAGCCGCGGUAAGACGGAGGAUGCAAGUGUUAUCCGGAAUCACUGGGCGUAAAGCGUCUGUAGGUGGUUUAAUAAGUCAACUGUUAAAUCUUGAGGCUCAACCUCAAAAUCGCAGUCGAAACUAUUAGACUAGAGUUAUAGUAGAA
rnacentral:rRNA from 1 species